ACAUACACAAAAAGAAAUAUGUGAGAUUAAUUCAAUAUUAUAAUUUAUUUAACCAAAUAUGUACAAAGUAUCAUUUCAAAUGUAACCAAUAUAAAAAUUAUUCUUGAAAUAUUUUAUGUUACUUUUUUCAUACUGGGUCUUCAAAUUCUAGUGUGUAUUUAACACUCAGUGUAUGUCUCAAUUCAGACAAGCUAAAUUUUAAGCACUGGAUAGCCACAUGUGGUUAGUGGCUACUGUCCUGGACAGCCUCGGAUUCUCAUUCUAUGACUGUCAUCCUAGAGAUUUCAAGCCAUUUAGUGGAAAGAGCCUUGAAGAGGCAGGAAACUUGAGGUUGAAACUCUGCUUUACCAUUAAGCAGUCAUGUUAAUUUGGGCAACUACUUCAUCCAUCUCAGCCUCAGGGGCCUCAUCUGUACCACGAAGGAACUUGGGCCACUGGAUCCCUCCAAGUUCAAGCAUUAUUUCAUCUAUAGACAUGGAACCAAGCACACUGUGAAAUAUCUACAAUAGGCAAAUUCAUAGAGACAGAAAGUAGAUAAGACAUUACCAAGGGCUGGGGAGAAGGUAGGGAUGAGGAGAUAUUGCCUACUGGUAACAAUAGGCAAAAAUCUGUCUUUGUGACAAAAAAUUUUAGGAAUAGAUAGUAGUAAUUGUGAAUGUACUUAAUGCCACUGAAUUGUACAAUUAAAAAUGGUUAAAACGGCAAAUUUUAUAUUACAUGUAUUUUAUCAUAAUAAAAAAUAAUUUUAAAAAACACUAUAGUCUCCUAGAAAAAGAAGUAAAGGAUUUUCCAUUCAAGCCAGUUGCAAAAACUUUGUAGUUGAACUCAGUGUUUUAGAAAAUGUGUAGGGCUGUCUUAGGUAAUUUGAGACCACAGGUUCUCAUAAUGUGCUCCCGUUAUCAACUGAAUUGCAUCCUCCAGAAAUUCCUGUGUUGAAGCCCUAAGCCCCAGUGUGACUGUAUUUAAAGACAAGGCCUUUAAGGAGAUAAGGUGAAAUGAAGUCAUAAUCGUGGGGCUCUAAUCCAAUGUGACUGGUGCCCUUAUAGGAAUAAAGAGAGACACCAGGGAGGUUUGUGUAGAAAGACAAGGCCAUGUGAGGGCACAGAGAGAAGGCAGCUGUCUACAAACCAAUGAGAAAAUCCUUGGGAAGAGCUCACUCUGUUGGCACCUUGAUUUUGGACUUCCAAUCCUCAACUGUGAGAAAAUAAAUUUCUGUUGUUUAAGCCACCCAACCUAUGGUGUUUGGUUGUAGCAGCCUGAGAAGACAAAGACACCCCUACAACCUACCCUCCACUCUCCUCUCCAAUACACACACACAAAAUUGUAAUACAGAGGAGCAUAAAAUGAGUAAGUAGGUUUGAUAUGUCACUUCCUGUUAAUAAGUGAGGAGGUUUUUAGAUCCUUUAUAUAAAGAAUCGUAGGGGCACAUUCUAGUUGUAGGGAUGAGAAAGAUAAGAUUAAAUUCUUUUUUCUCACUGUCUUGCUUACAUAAUACAGAAUACAUACUGAAACAGUUGGUAAUAAAAGGAGUUCCUUACAAUUAUUUUUUAUUUUUGGGUUUUUUUAAAUUAAAAACCCAUAUGCUUGCUGCUUCUGUUUCUGUUUUUCACUCUUGUGAUACUUAACAAUAUAGCACCAUGCCUAAGAGGGGACUGAGACAUUUCUUGAUGACAAUAACAGAAUAUAUUUUGACUACUUGGCUAUCCAAAUUAAAUAACACUGACUUCACCAAGAAACGUAUUAGGUAAAAUCAAGCACCAAAAGAGCUCGAAGAUAAAUAAAAAGUUCCAAAAAGGAACUGAUAACCUGGGUUUAUAUCCCAGCUCUGCCACGUACUUGCGCGGACUUGCUACGUGCCCUUGAGAAAGGGACUUAACUGUUUUCAGCCUGGGUUUCUCCAUCUAUGAUUCGUAGAUAAUGAAAUCUGGGAGAUGAACUAUGUCAAUGGCUCAGCGCUGAGUAACUGUCAGCUCUAUUUAUUCAGAUUCUUUUUACAUCGCUGCUGUUCCUGGGAGCCCCUGGCCCACUAUUAGUGCCACUGCACCUUUGCGCCUCUGGGAACACGAGUGGUUUCUUAGGGAGAAACCACUAAAUGAUUCCCUGGAACCUAAGUCAGGAUGAACUACUUCUUCCUCUGAGUUCCUACCAAAUCUGUAGCUCUUAGAGCAACUAAUUCAUUCAUGGACUCAUUUAGUUAAUAUUUUAUGAGGACCCUCCUUGUGCCAGGCACUGCACUAGGUAAUGGGUAUUGAUUUCUGUUCGCAUGGAGUUUCAAACCUGGACAGGGAAAAAAAUAAGGAAAUAAGGUAAGUACUUUGUUGUGAGGUUUGGUUUUCUUUUGUUUUGGCAAUCAGCUUUCCCGGGCUGAAUGUUGUGAGGUUUUAAUAGGUAUUCUGGGGUUUUGAUAAAAUGUUUAAAAUCAUGAAAUUUUACAUUUUUUAAAGGAAAUAGGCAAAAUUAUGUGCAUAGGAUUGUAUAGGGUCCAGGUCUGGGAGGAAGAGGAUGUUUCUGUGGGUACAGUAGCUUCUCUCUCUUAUGGGCUCCAUAGAGCCCAAAAAUACAGAUGUUGCAUACUCCUUGUUAGGUUAGUUUACUUUCACAGCUGUUUCUGAAAUGUAGUACUAUGAAAAAUAAUGUUGAGUGGGUGGGAAGAAAGAGUGAAGUAACACCUACCCCCCUAAAAGCAAACUACUUUGUUUUCAGGUUCAGGGAGUACAUGUGCAGGUUUGUUCCACGGAUAUAUUGUGUGAUGCUGAGGUUUGGGAUUAUAUUGAACCCAUCACCAAAUAGUGAACACAGUACCACUUAUACCCUCCUUUAUGAAAUAACUAAAAACCUGGAUAAAAUGCAUGGAACAACAGCACUCAAGACAUUACACAACAGCAACAUGAUGACUAAAUGCAACAUGUGUUCUGGAUUGGAUCUCGGAACAGAAAAAGGGCAUUAGUGGGAAAACUGGCGAAAUCCAAAGAAGUCUGGAGUUUAGUUAAUAAUCUGAGCUGUUCUUAAACCCAGAAUUUCUUGCCUGAAGGAGGAGUCAGGUCCCCACAAGGAAAGACCCUGCAACUGUAUAAAAAAAGAAUCUAAAAAGAUAGUGACUUCUUUACUCCUUUCCCAAAGAGACCUAUGGAAAUUUCCUCAGGAAGAGAGACCAAGCAGAAUCCCAGAAGAGUUGAUCUCAAAGCUUAUUUUAUGAGGAAAAUUGACCUGAGUGACACAAAGGGUUGGAUUGUAGUAGAUGUCAUGUUUUGCUGCCUAGAUCUCCAUCCAGGGAUGCACCCUCAUUUCCUCAGCUUCUUCAUUUCCUCAGCUUCUUCAUGUCCUCAGCUUCUUCAUGUCUUCAGCUUCUUCAUGUCCUCAGCUUCUUCAUUUCCUCAGCUUCUUCAUGUCCUCACCUUCUGGGAGGGUUGGCAGCUGCCAUUCUCACCUGAGUCCUUUUCUAGGACUUGCCCUUGCCUGAAGAGAGCUGUGUUGCCCAACAUGAUGCCUCCUCCAAGGUACAAUCCACACCCAGUGAUUAAUAAACAGGGGUUACAAAGGCAUGCCUGCUUGCCCCAGUUUGGGACAACUUUACCAGGCCAACCCAGCCUCAAGGCUCUCUGCAGGAACAGGUGAGCCUCAGCCAAUCACAGCAGCCAAGCUACAGCCAAUCCCAUGUGGCCAACUGAUCAGCCCUUGCCCAGUAAGACAACUGCUCACCUGUAACUACUCAAGCUGCUUCUGGACCUCAUUUCCAUUUGCUGUUUGUAAACGCUGCCUGCCCACCUAGCUGAGCAGAACUCUCUGAACUUCUUGCGUUUUUGAGGGUUACUUGAUUAGAAAAUUGUUCUUUGUUCAAUUAAACUUUGCUAAAUAUAAUUCGUUUAAAGAUUUUCUUUUAACAACAAAGAUGGAACUGACAUUCUAAUUUCUAAAUUGAGGCUAUUUGUAUUUUUAGCAGGACCCAAGGACUGUCGCUUAAGAGCAGGCUAAAAAGCCUUGAAAUUUUCUAACUUGCCAUGCAAGAGCAGUGAUAGAUAACCCCACUACGCAAAAUGUCAUGGGGCUAAGGGAGACAAAAAUACAGCUGUGUUUCAAUUGCGUCUCUGAAUGAUACAAUUAUAGCACUUACACAAUAACCACUUGAGAAAAAAGAACAGCCUUACACCAAAAAUAGAAUGAGAAGUACAAGCACAAUGAAGUAACAGGUCACUUUACACAAAAAGUAAAGUGAGGCUCAAAGGGGAUGAGCAAAUUGCCCAAGGCUGCACUGGUGGUAAGUAGCAGAUCUGGGGCUCGAGUCUAGAUCCUGAGCUUUUAAUACCUAUGCGACACUUCCUCUGUUCCUUCCCUUCUGAGAAUGCGAUUAUGUUCAUUGGGGUGUAUUCCCUACUGUGGUUUACAGGGGAGGGUUCACAUUUUCAUGUUCUGAAAGAUUAUUUUGAAUUUAAAAAGCUGGCAAGAUGUCUCUGAACAAUGGAACAUAGCCCAAGGCUACAAUUUUGUUAUACACAUUACAGUGUUCUAAGGCCACUGGUGGCCUGUUCUUUGAGAUGAAAACAAUACAUCAGUAGGAGCUAAGUGAAAGAGAGUAAACUGGUCUCCAGGUACCCAGAUAGUACGUGAAGUCAACAGAAGCAAAACUUGCUGUGGUCUAUUAAUAAUUCAAAAGCCCUUUAUCCUCAAUCCUCUUCCACUCUCUAAUUCUUUCUUCCUAGUUUAUCUUACUUCCUCUUUCCAAAUAGCCUGGGCUGGCAGGCUGCAUUUAGGUAAUCACUGCACAAUACAGUUACUGACUCUGUUUACAAGAUUCUUGCUGGUAUUUUAUUUUCACCCUUUAUGGUGUUUGGUUUUUAAAAGCAAAUGAAUAGGGAGUCAUGAUUUUUUGGCUGCCUUUGUCUUUGGCAUAUGACAUUUAUGCCUUUAAAACCUGUUGUCGUUGUUCCAGGGCAUUUCACUGAUGAAAUUGAUCAAAAUGAACCUACAAAUCAGCCACUAAGAGACUACAUGAAUAAAAACUGUUAUUAGGAAAAUGAUCAUGGAAAAAAUAUUAUAACAAAGAACAGGUUUAAGAAAAAGCCAGAGUGUUCGCUUUUUUUUUUUUUUUUUUUUUUUUUUUAAGAAGGGUUUAUGUUCUCAACACCGGCAAUAAUUUGUCAAAGUCUGUUGCUCUGAGUGAAAUUAGAUUUCCUUUUUAGCUUCAGUAAUAAGCCAUUCCUGGAAAAGUGGAGCUCAGAAACAUUUGCUACAAAAAUUUAUUUUUACUCACAGAAAGAAUAAUUUGCAGUGUUAUUUCUAGUGAAGGGAUGGGAACCAGGAUUCAAAUAUUCAUCUGUCUACAAUACUGAGGUCCUCCUACCUCCCCUGCCCUACAAAGGGACCCUCGCAGUAUACAAAAGUAUUAAAUAUUUUUAGUGUGAUAUUCUGUGGUUAAAAUAUAGUCACAUUCUUGUUUCUUUCUUCAAGCAUAAGUAUCAGUCAGAUUUCAGAGUAUAAGUUGAAGCAACAAAUAGUAAGAAAACCCAUGCAUGAAGAUAUUUUCUCACUCAUUUUUUUACUAUUUUAUUUUUGGCUACUUCUUUUAUUUGCAUUAUAUUUAGUGUCACUAAGCUGCUAUACACGUACUCAUUUGAAGAGAUGUGCUAAAGCUUUUGGUGUGUUUUGCUAUUGAUUAUCCGAUCUAAGAGUUUGAGUUACUCUAUGAUCAAGAUGGCGGUCUGCAGUGAGUCCACCUGCCCGCCAACCUCUGCAACAACCAGCUGAGGAUACUUGCACUGGGCUGACGCUAAGGCCAUGAUUAGAUCUGCUAGGGGGUGAGGACCAUGAAACUGGACCUCCAAUCCUGAACCUCUCUUCCAAGCUACAUUCCAAAACCAACUGUUGCCUCCAACUCCCUUUGACUAAAUCUGACCUCCCUUCAAACUGGCUCUCUUCCUACUUUCCAGAUUUUAUAGAGGCACUGCUGUGCAGUGCACAGAGUUGAAAUGAGGCUCAAGUGGGUUUGAAUCCAAGCUCUACACUUACUGUUUGAUCUUGGGCCAAUGAUUUAUUCUUCCUGAGGCUCAGUUUCCUCCUUUGUAAAAUGUCAGUAAAGAUUCCUAGCAUGUAGGAUUUUGUGCAUUUAAAGAGAUAACAUUUCUAAGUGACUAGCUGAGUGCCUGGCACAAACACAGGCACUAAGUAAGCAGAGGUUUCCUCCCUUUCCCCUCACUGUCAAUGGUACUGCCAGUGUGUACAGUAGCCAAGUUGGACAUGUUGAUACCAAUUUUUCUCUUCUCCCCCUUUCCCUUAAUUGAAGCCAAUCAUCAAGUUAUAGAAUAUUAGAACUAACAAGAACCUUAGAAAUCCUGACCAUAUGAUUCACCAAUAAAAUACAGAGAAAGACAUUUCUGAUCAAUGCAGCAAUCUUGACCCCUAUGUCGAUUAAAUAACAACCAUUAUUUUAUGACAGAAUUUGUUGCUCGACAUUUGACAAUCAUAUUGAACAAAAGAAGAUCAAUCAACUAUAAUCAGUUCAGGGAUCAUGUACAAACACAGCUUCAGGCUCACAAGGUAAGAUCUAUUUUCCAAACUGUUGUCCUAUGGUUAUUUAUGACUACGAACUUUUUUGGGAGGUAGAAAAAGUGUCCCUGGUACAUUCCUUUGCCCUAUGUCUCUUCUUUCUUUGUCAUUUACUAACAUGAGGAGAGGGAUCUGUCUCAAAGAUAAUUGAAGGAGAAAGCGAUCGUAGAACCAAAACAAAGGGGAAAAAGAAGAUAAUUCCAAAGGAAACAAUAUCAAUGUUUUAAAGCCUAAAAACUGACUACUUAAUAAAUUACCUUACAUGUACCCUGGAACUAUUCGCUCCAUGCAUUGCAUGAGUUCAUUUGUGUUCUUCUAGAUAGUUUAUCCUGAGGGAGUCUACUAAGCAAAAUAAGAAUUAGAUAAUAGUUCUUUAUCACACAACUCUUCUUCCUUUCAUAGUCCAUGCUAAAUAAUCAUGCAUGAUCCAAACUUCCUAUUUAACACUUCACCCUCUUCUUCCUCCUGUGUUCCAUGUACAAGGAGAAAAUAAAUGAUCCAUAGUUAACUUUUUUUUAUGUGAAGACAGGAAGAAUAUGAAUCAUACAUCAAGCUAGAAUAUAAAUAAUUAUGUUUAUAAAAGAUUUAAUUUCUUGAAUAUUCAUAGUCACUGGAUAUGCAUAUCAUCCAACGUUCUCCCAAUAAUAAAACCAGAGCCAGGAAAGAAAAAAGACCCUGUCUUUAGUGAUAGCCCAUUAUGCUAAAGUCUACUUAUUUGUCAGGGCAACUUGGAAAGUUCUGGAAGACCUGGCCUUCAAAUUUUACCGUUUUGCCCACCAACUCAGUGCACUGACUUAACACGACAUGUGGCAAACAAGUGAGGAGAGUGGCCCACCACAGUCUAGGA